rnacentral:lncRNA from 1 species
CACUGAUUGGCAUGUGACCAAGUUGAUGGUGGUCAAAACAGAACUCCUUUCAUGCCCACAAGCUUCAGUAUUACUAUGUUCCCUGCCACUUCCGUUGAAGUUUUGCAGGAUUGGGAUGAUCCUUUGGUGUGAACGAAGCCCCAAAGAGGACCACGUGGAGAGUGCCUGACUGUUCCUGUGAUGUCUUCUAGUACAUGAACAGGAAUGAAACCCACUAUGUCCUCCAUGUGAACUACAUGCUGAGCGUGGGUCCAGAUGGGAAACCAUUCUCCUACCCUGCAGAAAUGGUAUAUAGUUUCAAGGAUGUGGGUAAGUACACCAAGUGAGGUGCUGGUCCUGGACUCAUGGAUGGUCUUG